CCUACGGGAGGCAGCAGUGGGGAAUAUUGCACAAUGGGCGAAAGCCUGACGCAGCGACGCCGCGUGAGGGAUGAAGGUCUUCGGAUCGUAAACCUCUGUCAGCAGGGAAGAACGGUCACUGUGCUAAUCAACAGUCACUUGACGGUACCUUCAAAGGAAGCACCGGCUAACUCCGUGCCAGCAGCCGCGGUAAUACGUAGGGGGCGAGCGUUAAUCGGAAUUACUGGGCGUAAAGCGCUCGUAGGCGGUAUGUCAAGUCAAGGGUGAAAUCCCCGGGCUCAACGUGGGAACUGCCUUGGAAACUGGCAAACUGGAGUGUGGGAGAGGAGAGUGGAACUCCAGGUGUAGGAGUGAAAUGCGUAGAUAUCUGGAGGAACAUCAGUGGCGAAGGCGACUAUCUGGCACAUAACUGACGCUGAGGAUCGAAAGCGUGGGUAGCAAACAGGAUUAGAUACCCGGGUAGUC
rnacentral:rRNA from 1 species